GUUGAAUCAUAUUGUCUGAAGAAUUCAAGAUGAGUUUUCUCUCUCUAAAAUUUUUUCCCUCUAGAAUUUUCUCUCUCUAAAAUAUUCUCUCUCUUGAUUGAUUCUCUCUCUAAAAAGGUUAGUGAAUGAAGAAAUUUCUUUUAAUAGUCCUGAUCUGAUUCUAAUGAAGAACCCUGAUCCAUGAUUGUCGGGUAGUGUAUUGGCACCCACCUUGAUCAGACCAUGAAUUUUUAGAUUUGAUCAUCCAUGAUCCCGAUCUAGUCA
rnacentral:lncRNA from 1 species